rnacentral:rRNA from 1 species
AGAGUUUGAUCAUGGCUCAGGAUGAACGCUAGCUACAGGCUUAACACAUGCAAGUCGAGGGGCAGCAUGGUCUUAGCUUGCUAAGGCCGAUGGCGACCGGCGCACGGGUGAGUAACGCGUAUCCAACCUGCCUUACACUCUUGGACAGCCUUCUGAAAGGGAGAUUAAUACAAGAUGUUAUCAUGAGUAAGCAUUUUCGCAUGAUUAAAGGUUUACCGGUGUAAGGAUGGGGAUGCGUUCCAUUAGAUAGUAGGCGGGGUAACGGCCACCUAGUCUUCGAUGGAUAGGGGUUCUGAGAGGAAGGUCCCCCACAUUGGGACUGAGACACGGUCCAAACUCCGUACGGAGGCA